CCAGAGUGGUAAUGGUGACCUGGUUGGACUAGAGUCUCUGAGGAUCUUUGAAACCACCUGAUUCACUCUA